rnacentral:miRNA from 3 species
AGCAGGGCUGGGGAUUGCA